rnacentral:rRNA from 1 species
CCUACGGGUGGCAGCAGUGGGGAAUAUUGGGCAAUGGGCGCAAGCCUGACCCAGCAACGCCGCGUGAAGGAAGAAGGCUUUCGGGUUGUAAACUUCUUUUCUCAGGGACGAAGCAAGUGACGGUACCUGAGGAAUAAGCCACGGCUAACUACGUGCCAGCAGCCGCGGUAAUACGUAGGUGGCAAGUGUUAUCCGGAUUUACUGGGUGUAAGGGGCGUGUAGGCGGGACUGCAAGUCAGAUGUGAAAACCACGGGCUCAACCUGUGGCCUGCAUUUGAAACUGUAGUUCUUGAGUACUGGAGAGGCAGACGGAAUUCCUAGUGUAGCGGUGAAAUGCGUAGAUAUUAGGAGGAACACCGGUGGCGAAGGCGGCUUACUGGACUGUAACUGACGUUGAGGCUCGAAAGCGUGGGGAGCAAACAGGAUUAGAUACCCGGGUAGUC